GAUGAACGCUGGCGGCGUGCCUAAUACAUGCAUGUCGAGCGAACGGACGAGAAGCUUGCUUUUCUGAUGUUAGCGGCGGACGGGUGAGUAACACGUGGAUAACCUACCUAUAAGACUGGGAUAACUUCGGGAAACCGGAGCUAAUACCGGAUAAUAUUUUGAACCGCAUGGUUCAAAAGUGAAAGACGGUCUUGCUGUCACUUAUAGAUGGAUCCGCGCUGCAUUAGCUAGUUGGUAAGGUAACGGCUUACCAAGGCAACGAUGCAUAGCCGACCUGAGAGGGUGAUAGGCCACACUGGAACUGAGACACGGUCCAGACUCCUACGGGAGGCAGCAGUAGGGAAUCUUCCGCAAUGGGCGAAAGCCUGACGGAGCAACGCCGCGUGAGUGAUGAAGGUCUUCGGAUCGUAAAACUCUGUUAUUAGGGAAGAACAUAUGUGUAAGUAACUGUGCACAUCUUGACGGUACCUAAUCAGAAAGCCACGGCUAACUACGUG
rnacentral:rRNA from 1 species